AUUAAUUUUAUAGACAAGUUCAAAUUGAGGUAUAGAUAGAGAUUGUAU
rnacentral:misc_RNA from 1 species